rnacentral:rRNA from 1 species
GUGGGGAAUUUUGGACAAUGGGCGAAAGCCUGAUCCAGCAAUGCCGCGUGAGUGAAGAAGGCCUUCGGGUUGUAAAGCUCUUUCAGUCGAGAAGAAAAGAUUGUGACUAAUAAUCAUGAUUUAUGACGGUAUCGGCAGAAGAAGCACCGGCUAACUACGUGCCAGCAGCCGCGGUAAUACGUAGGGUGCAAGCGUUAAUCGGAAUUACUGGGCGUAAAGGGUGCGCAGGCGGCUAUGCAAGUCAGAUGUGAAAUCCCCGGGCUUAACCUGGGAACUGCGUUUGAAACUACAGAGCUAGAGUGUGGCAGAGGGAGGUGGAAUUCCAUGUGUAGCAGUGAAAUGCGUAGAGAUAUGGAAGAACAUCGAUGGCGAAGGCAACCUCCUGGGUUAACACUGACGCUCAUGCACGAAAGCGUGGGGAGCAAACAGGAUUAGAAACCCUGGUAGUCC